UACGUAGGGUGCGAGCGUUGUCCGGAAUUACUGGGCGUAAAGAGCUCGUAGGUGGUUUGUCGCGUUGUUCGUGAAAACUCACAGCUCAACUGUGGGCGUGCGGGCGAUACGGGCAGACUGGAGUACUGCAGGGGAGACUGGAAUUCCUGGUGUAGCGGUGGAAAUGCGCAGAUAUCAGGAGGAACACCGGUGGCGAAGGCGGGUCUCUGGGCAGUAACUGACGCUGAGGAGCGAAAGCGUGGGGAGCGAACAGG
rnacentral:rRNA from 1 species